AAAGGGGUAUUACAAAUAUUUCUUUCAUCCGUACCCUGAAAAAACAAAGAACUUGAGAAUUAUUUAAAAGUUAAAACAUGUAUUUACAUGUUCUUGGGUUGGCGUAGCUGAAAUGAUUGCAUACUUUUAGGAUUUGGGAAAGCAGCGCACUAAACACUCAAUUCUGUUCAGCUUUAUUAUCAGCUGAACUGUUGUCACAUAAAUGACACUGUUCGUUUUAUUAACUUGAUAUUCUGUGAGUGCGGAUGUGUGUUUUAUCUGAAUUCACCAUGAUUUAAUUAUAGAAGGUUAGCAUCAUGAUUCAAUUAUAGAAGGUUAGGUAAGUAAACAGCUUUCUCGCUCCCUCUUGACAUAUCGGCUCCCUUACUUGAAAACGUGUUGCUUCUUUACAAAAAAAAGUACCUAUUUCACAAAAAAAUUUUUGAAUUGUGGUAAAAACUAAACUUUUGGUGCAAAUUAUUUGGUCGGCAACACUGUUUCCAUUUUUGACACGUUGCUUUAUUCAUAUUCGUUAAAAACCGUUUAUUUCAUUGGAAAAAUUCCAAUUCCAGCAUCGUUUUCCUGUAAAUAUACAUUUUUGAUUUCUGAGCAUAUUCAGCAUUCCUGCACCUGCACCCCAGUGUCUAAUAUUCGUACGCGUUUCGUAUCGUUAAAUACUCAUUUUUGAUUUCUGAGCAAAUUCAGCAUUCAUGCACCUGCACCCCAGUGUCUAAUAUUCGUACGCGUUUCGUAUCGUUAAAUACUCAUUUUUGAUUUCUGAGCAAAUUCAGCAUUCAUGCACCUGCACCCCAGUGUCUAAUAUUCGUACGCGUUUCGUAUCGUUAAAUACUCAUUUUUGAUUUCUGAGCAAAUUCAGCAUUCAUGCACCUGCACCCCAGUGUCUAAUAUUCGUACGCGUUUCGUAUCGUUAAAUACUCAUUUUUGAUUUCUGAACAAAUUCAGCAUUCCUGCACCUGCACCCCAGUGUCUAAUAUUCGUACGCGUUUCGUAUCGUUAAAUACUCAUUUUUGAUUUCUGAGCAAAUUCAGCAUUCCUGCACCUGCACCCCAGUGUCUAAUAUUCGUACGCGUUUCGUAUCGUUAAAUACUCAUUUUUGAUUUCUGAACAAAUUCAGCAUUCCUGCACCUGCACCCCAGUGUCUAAUAUUCGUACGCGUUUCGUAUCGUUAAAUACUCAUUUUUGAUUUCUGAGCAAAUUCAGCAUUCAUGCACCUGCACCCCAGUGUCUAAUAUUCGUACGCGUUUCGUAUCGUUAAAUACUCAUUUUUGAUUUCUGAACAAAUUCAGCAUUCCUGCACCUGCACCCCAGUGUCUAAUAUUCGUACGCGUUUCGUAUCGUUAAAUACUCAUUUUUGAUUUCUGAGCAAAUUCAGCAUUCCUGCACCUGCACCCCAGUGUCUAAUAUUCGUACGCGUUUCGUAUCGUUAAAUACUCAUUUUUGAUUUCUGAACAAAUUCAGCAUUCCUGCACCUGCACCCCAGUGUCUAAUAUUCGUACGCGUUUCGUAUCGUUAAAUACUCAUUUUUGAUUUCUGAGCAAAUUCAGCAUUCAUGCACCUGCACCCCAGUGUCUAAUAUUCGUACGCGUUUCGUAUCGUUAAAUACUCAUUUUUGAUUUCUGAGCAAAUUCAGCAUUCCUGCACCUGCACCCCAGUGUCUAAUAUUCGUACGCGUUUCGUAUCGUUAAAUACUCAUUUUUGAUUUCUGAGCAAAUUCAGCAUUCAUGCACCUGCACCCCAGUGUCUAAUAUUCGUACGCGUUUCGUAUCGUUAAAUACUCAUUUUUGAUUUCUGAGCAAAUUCAGCAUUCCUGCACCUGCAGCCCCGUGUCUAAUAUUCGUACGCGUUUUGUAUCGUUAAAUACUCGUAAGUUAUAAUAUUGUAUUUGCAAGUUAUCUAUUUCUAAUAUUUUUUGGAGAACAAUUAUAAAGGGUUUUCCAAUAGGAGGUGUUAUUUUUAUAUUCAAAGAAAAAUGCUAUUUUUAAUGUAAAUGAUCGGAUGUUUAUUUCAGUUUAAAGAGGAAAACCCUUUAUUAUAUGUAUUUUUUUGUUAAUAAUUCGCGCAAGAACACAUUCAAUUAAAAAUAUUUAAA